UGGGGGAUAUUGCACAAUGGAGGAAACUCUGAUGCAGCAACGCCGCGUGAGGGAAGAAGGUCUUCGGAUUGUAAACCUCAGUAGUCAGGGACGAAAGAAAUGACGGUACCUGAAGAGUAAGCUCCGGCUAACUACGUGCCAGCAGCCGCGGUAAUACGUAGGGAGCGAGCGUUGUCCGGAUUUACUGGGUGUAAAGGGUGCGUAGGCGGGAUAGCAAGUCAGACGUGAAAUACCGAGGCUUAACUUCGGGGCUGCGUUUGAAACUGUUAUUCUUGAGUGAAGUAGAGGCAGGCGGAACUCCUAGUGUAGCGGUGAAAUGCGUAGAUAUUAGGAGGAACACCAGUGGCGAAGGCGGCCUGCUGGGCUUUAACUGACGCUGAGGCACGAAAGCAUGGGGAGCAAACA
rnacentral:rRNA from 1 species